rnacentral:rRNA from 1 species
AAAUAGAUACCCCGAGGUAGUCCACGCCGUAAACGAUUAGUGCUAAGUGUUAGAGGGUUUCCGCCCUUUAGUGCUGCAGCUAACGCAUUAAGCACUCCGCCUGGGGAGUACGGCCGCAAGGCUGAAACUCAAAGGAAUUGACGGGGGGCCCGCACAAGCGGUGGAGCAUGUGGUUUAAUUCGAAGCAACGCGAAGAACCUUACCAGGUCUUGACAUCCUCUGCCAACCCUAGAGAUAGGGCGUUCCCCUUCGGGGGGACAGAGUGACAGGUGGUGCAUGGUUGUCGUCAGCUCGUGUCGUGAGAUGUUGGGUUAAGUCCCGCAACGAGCGCAACCCUUGAUCUUAGUUGCCAGCAUUUAGUUGGGCACUCUAAGGUGACUGCCGGUGACAAACCGGAGGAAGGUGGGGAUGACGUCAAAUCAUCAUGCCCCUUAUGACCUGGGCUACACACGUGCUACAAUGGAUGGUACAAAGAGCUGCGAACCCGCGAGGGUGAGCGAAUCUCAUAAAGCCAUUCUCAGUUCGGA